CAAGCCAUCAAAGACAGCAAACUGCAUAUUAGCAUGAGCAAUAUUAGCCAGGUACAGCCACAGCUGCUACAUAUAGCUCUUCUUUCAUUACAGCCUCACUAGAUAAUCUACUUUCUGGGGUAGGGACAGUAAACUUCCUUUGCAGCUCUCCAGCAGCACAUGUCCUCUUUAUCUUGGUGACCUAGUUAUUAGAGCCUGUGCUUGAAAGGUGGGUGAUUAUCACAUGUUCCUCGUUAGCUUGAGGAAUACCCAAAGGCAUGAGCAAGUGCAGAAUGCUGCUCUCUACCUUUUCAAGUCCUGCCAGUAGCUAAAGGGGGUGGCCAUCGGAUAACGCCUAGGGUUGGACCUGGGAGGCUCUUCUGUCUGCAGAGCCCAUCCUGGGCUGGGUUUCCAUUACUUCAGACAAUCUGUGCUACUCCACCUUCCUCUGGCAAAACCUCCAGAACAGCCAUGAAAAGUCAAAUAGGAGAAAACAAUCUCGGAGGCCAUGCUGCUUCUUUCUGCCCAGGUUGGCCUUGGAUUCUGGCCAGCCUGGGCUUUGUACAUAAAAUGCUUGCGUUAUGCUGUUUUCUGUUUUGCUUUUGCACAUUGAACAUUAUGAUGGUGGUGGUUUUAAUAUAGAAGAUUAAGCAUAUUCCUAGGAAUAGGCUCAGUCAUCUUCAAAAUCUCAGUGCCGAGAGGGUUUGAAGUCAGUGGAGGACAUGUCAAAUGCUCAAGAUUUAUGAGAACUCUGCAAUUUAUUUCUGAAAGUAGGAAAUAAAUCUUGACUCUUGGAAAAAAAAUUACUUAGCUACUCUUCCGAAAGAAGGAUUGAAUUAACGAUGUGAAAAGGCUUGAGCCCUGCCGUUCCUGUGUGCACAGCUAACACUUUGCUGCAAAUUGAGGCGAUCUUAAUCUUGGCCAGUGGAGGAGUGAUGUGAGAGAACUGUGCUCCUUACGCAGGAAUUUGCAUCAAAUUGAUCUGCCCAACAUUUAGAAACUCCUUGUUGGGGGUUUGGCAUUGGAAACUAUUGGUGAGACUCAGCACUGAGCAGCAGAGAAGUAAACUGGAGGGGCUUAGGAAAAUGUAGAUGUAUGUCUGGAUCCAGUGGGGAGGAACUUGCAGCAGCUCACGAUAUCCUAGAAAUAAAUGCACAGAAAUGGCAGUGUGGCUGUAUCCUAACGUCAUUAAGGACUCCAGUUAAUCAAAUACUGUUGCUGUUAUCUAGGAAAUGGUGACUGGCAGGAGGGGGACACUGUUGGGUGGAUGAAGGGCCGGCUUCAAGGGAGGUUUACAGUGUGAGAGACUGUUCGCAGAGGCCAUGGAUAACUGGAUUAAAGAGGUGAUAAUGGGUGC